AUCCAGCCGACGAGUCCCAAAUGGGGCAAAACGCGCGCUCUGGAU
rnacentral:hammerhead_ribozyme from 1 species